GAACGCUGGCGGCGUGCUUAACACAUGCAAGUCGAACGAUGAAGCCUGUAACUUGUUGUGGGUGGAUUAGUGGCGAACGGGUGAGUAAUACGUGAGUAACCUGCCCUCCUUUUUGGGAUAAGCCUUGGAAACGGGGUCUAAUACCGGAUAUUCUGGCAUGCUCGCAUGGGUGUGUUGGGAAAGCUUUAUGUGAAGGGGGAUGGGCUCGCGGCCUAUCAGCUUGUUGGUGGGGUGAUGGCCUACCAAGGCGGUGACGGGUAGCCGGCCUGAGAGGGUGACCGGCCACAUUGGGACUGAGAUACGGCCCAGACUCCUACGGGAGGCAGCAGUGGGGGAUAUUGCACAAUGGGCGAAAGCCUGAUGCAGCGACGCCGCGUGGGGGAUGAAGGCUUUCGGGUUGUAAACCUCUUUCGCUAUCGAACAAGGCUCAUUUUUUGGUGGGUUGAGGGUAGGUGGAGAAGAAGCGCCGGCUAACUACGUGCCAGCAGCCGC
rnacentral:rRNA from 1 species